rnacentral:rRNA from 1 species
UAAACGACACUCGGCAACGGAUAUCUCGGCUCAUGCAUCGAUGAAGAACGUAGCAAAAUGCGAUACUUGGUGUGAAUUGCAGAAUCCCGUGAACCAUCGAGUUUUUGAACGCAAGUUGCGCCCGAAGCCUUCUGGUUGAGGGCACGUCUGCCUGGGCGUCACGC